rnacentral:misc_RNA from 1 species
UCCUGGUUAACCCAGGCAGUCUCAUUAGAGUUCCCGCCAUUACGCGUUGGCAACUAAUGAUAAGGGUUGCGCUCGUUGCGGGACUUAACCCAACACCUCACGGCACGAGCUGACGACAGCCAUGCAGCACCUGUGCGCUAGCCCCGAAGGGCCUCGUCGUUUCUGACGCAUUCUAGCGCAUGUCAAGCCUGGGUAAGGUUCUUCGCGUUGCAUCGAAUUAAACCACAUGCUCCACUGCUUGUGCGGGUCCCCGUCAAUUCUUUUGAGUUUCAGCCUUGCGACUGUACUCCCCAGGCGGUAUACUUAUCGCGUUAGCUUCGGCACAGCCAGGGUUGAUUCCGGCUACACCAAGUAUACAUCGUUUACGGCAAGGACUAC